UGGGGAAUAUUGCACAAUGGGCGCAAGCCUGAUGCAGCCAUGCCGCGUGUAUGAAGAAGGCCUUCGGGUUGUAAAGUACUUUCAGUCGGGAGGAAGGUGGUAAGGUUAAUAACCUUAUCAAUUGACGUUACCGACAGAAGAAGCACCGGCUAACUCCGUGCCAGCAGCCGCGGUAAUACGGAGGGUGCAAGCGUUAAUCGGAAUUACUGGGCGUAAAGCGCACGCAGGCGGUUGAUUGAGUCAGAUGUGAAAUCCCCGGGCUUAACCCGGGAAUUGCAUCUGAUACUGGUCAGCUAGAGUCUUGUAGAGGGGGGUAGAAUUCCAUGUGUAGCGGUGAAAUGCGUAGAGAUGUGGAGGAAUACCGGUGGCGAAGGCGGCCCCCUGGACAAAGACUGACGCUCAGGUGCGAAAGCGUGGGGGGCAAACAGG
rnacentral:rRNA from 1 species